AGGCUGGCUGGAGGUCACAGCAUUUCUGCUCUUCUGCUCCUCGCUUCCAGUCACUCCAUUGACCACGAGAGCCUCCCGCCAUGUCAUACAAGUCCACUCCACUUUGUGUCUUCUUCUGAGCGAUCCUCCUGCCUAGCUGCCAGGAGCUAUGCCACCCGCCUCUGUGCCGUGGGGCCACCAGCACCCCCAGAGGGAUGGACACGUGUGCAAGCAAGGCCAGUCCAGUCCCCCUUCCGGGAAGGUGACGGGUCAGAGGCGGAGGAUGACGGGUCAACUUCUUUGUUGCCAGUGCCCUGGGUGCUCCCUUCGCUGCCUCUUCCAGGCGCCUUGACCUGGGAACAUUGCUGCUCCAACCUUUCAGGUGUCUCCUGUCCUGCUGUUUCUAUACAGAACUCAAAGAGAUGCAAGAAAAAGACACACCAGUGUCAACUCACAGAUACAAAUUUGCUUGAAAACCUAAUAAAAAUGUAAUUGGACUUGAGGUAUAAAAAGAAGACAUGCAAGAAGAUAGAAGUUCAAAAAUUUCAAAGUUCAAGUCUUCCUGACUUUUCCCGACCCGGUUUGUAGACGUGCCCUGCAGACAUGGUGACUUUGCUUCUCUGACCACAAAUCAGAGCACAGUGUGCAGAAUGACGUAGGGUGUUUCAACCUGCUCUUCGGAAACAAUCAGCAGUAUUGGUUAAACCCGCUCCCUUCCUGGCAGCUGCCGGGAGCUCCCAGCCUAUUUCCCUUCCCUUUGUGGUGUUGGAGGUCUGGGAUCUUGUCUGAGAGCCCCUCAUGGGCCUUCAGCUGUCUGCUCCCUUCCCCGUGGACCCAGCACCCCUCAGUGGAGGGAAGGAGCCUGGGGUAGAGGAGGGUCGUCUGCAGGGGUGCAUGGGAAGGAAGAGGAGGGACCACCUCCCACCUGCCCGAAAGCAGAAACAGGAUGAACACAGGGGUCUGGCUCCCGGGACCCAAAGAACCCUCAGCUCUUAGCUUUCUGAAGGGGCUCUUUCCUACCUCAUCAGGAAUAACAAUGAAUCCUGCAUACCUGUGCAGAUGGGAGAACCUCUGUGGGCAGUUUGGUGGCCCUGGAGCUGAGUCUCUUGCUACUGAUUGGCUUUGGGUUACUCUCAAUACACAUUAGAAUAUCCUGAGAUGCUUUAAACAUCCUUGUCCUGGCCAUGCCUUGUGUUCCAGUGCCAGAGAUUUGGAUUUGGUUGAUCUGAGUGGGUGGGACGUGGACACUUAAAAUAGAAAAAAAGAAACUUAAUAGAGGAUUCCAGUGUGUAGUGGGGAACUACUGCUGGUUCUUGAAACCUGGUCCCAGGACCAUCAGGGCCAGCAUCACCUGAGAAGUCGAUAGAAAUGUAGAUUCUGCUCCUCCCCAUAGACACGCUGAACCAGAAACUCUGGGGGCAGUGGCCAGCCAGCUGUGGUUUCAGACACCCCAGUUCAUUCUGAUGGGCACAGCUGAGGACCACGAUGCUGAUGUGGAUGGAUAAGAGGCCUCAUGGAAACAGAACAUCAUGAAGCCCAAGGAGAUGUUGGAACAAUACACGGAACCUUUGAGUGGAAACAAUAAUACUUUUGACACUAACAUUCCCUGUUUAUCUCAAAUAGCGUCUCUCUGCUGUAUCCUUAUUGUCAGUAGAGACAACGGCUCCACACGUUCAACACAUGAGGUCAUGUGAGCCUUCGUGGGGUUAAAUAACUGGUACAAGGUCAGACAGCCAACUGGUCUUGGAGCUCCGAUUCAAGUCCAGACUUGUGUGAUCAGCUAAACUCUUUAACCUCUGCUGCGCUUGCCCUGUCCGCCACCCUAAGAGUGCAGCUCCUGGGAGAGGGGUCCUUGUCUUGCUCAUGGUGAGCCCUUCCUGCUCCCCGGCACCCUGGCUUCUAGAGCUGCCCUGUCCAGUAGGGUAGCCGCUGGAAAUGUGACCAGGCCAAACUGAGAUGUGCUGUAAGGAUAAAAUACACACUGGGUUUAGACUUAGUAUAAAAUA